CUUGAAAGGAGCAAUCCGCUUUGGAAUUGGGAUAUGGUCUAUUAGCUAGUUGGCGGGAUAAAAGCCCCCCAAGGCGAUGAUAGAUAGCUGGAUUGAGAAGUUGAACAGCCACAAUGGGAUUGAGAUACGGCCCAUAUUCCUACGGGAAGCAGCAGUAGGGGAUCUUCCACAAUGGGCGAAAGCCUGAUGGAGCAAUACCAUGUGAACGACGAAGGUCUUAUUGAUUGUAAAGUUCUUUUAAGAGGGAUAAAACAAGAUGGUACCUCUUGAAUAAGUGACAGCAAACUAUGUGCCAGCAGCUGCGGUAAUACAUAGGUCGCGAGCGUUAUUCGGAUUUAUUGGGCGUAAAGAGAGCGCAGGCGGAUGGAUAAGUUCUGUGUGAAAGGUAGCCGCUCAACGGUUACUUGCGCCGAAUACUGUCUGUCUAGAAUACGGUAGGGAGGUUCGGAAUUGAAUGUGGAGCGGUGGAAUGUGUAGAUAUAUUCAAGAACACCAGAGGCGAAGGCGGAACCUUAGGCCGAUAUUGACGCUUAGGCUCGAAAGUGUGGGGAGCAAAUGGGAUUAGAUACCCCAGUAGUCCACACCGUAAACGAUGGAUAUUUGAUGUUGGGAGUUGAGAGUCUCAGCGUUGUAGCUUACGUGUUAAAUAUCCCGCCUGGGUAGUACAUAUGCAAAUAUGAAACUCAAAGGAAUUGACG
rnacentral:rRNA from 1 species